UACAGAGGUCCCAAGCGUUGUUCGGAUUCACUGGGCGUAAAGGGUGCGUAGGUGGCUUGGUAAGUUUGAUGUGAAAUCUCCGGGCUUAACCCGGAAAUGGCAUUGAAUACUAUUGAGCUGGAGGUUUGGAGGGGGACUGGAAUUCUCGGUGUAGCAGUGAAAUGCGUAGAUAUCGAGAGGAACACCAGUGGCGAAGGCGAGUCCCUGGACAACACCUGACACUGAGGCACGAAAGCUAGGGAGCAAACAGG
rnacentral:rRNA from 1 species